UACGUAGGGUCCGAGCGUUGUCCGGAAUUAUUGGGCGUAAAGGGCUCGUAGGCGGUUUGUCGCGUCGUUCGUGAAAUCUUGAUGCUUAACAUCAAGCGUGCGGGCGAUACGGGCAGACUUGAGUACUACAGGGGAGACUGGAAUUCCUGGUGUAGCGGUGAAAUGCGCAGAUAUCAGGAGGAACACCGGUGGCGAAGGCGGGUCUCUGGGGACGGUACUGGACGCUGAGACGCGAAAGCGUGGGGAGCGAACAGG
rnacentral:rRNA from 1 species